AAUAGCCGUAAGGGACCACAUUUAGCAAGUGGUCACAUGAUGUCUCCCGCAGAAAAUCUUGUGUAAAGUACUGAGGUAGCCAUUUUUCCAAUCGCUUCUUAUGAGAAACCAAUUGUCUCGACGGAUAUAUUAUCGAAUAGAUAUGUUAAAAACACCUUGAGGAUUGAUUCUAAACAACGUUUGCCAUGUUUCUGUCGAUAUUAUGGAGCUAAUUUGGAAAAAAGUUUGGUGUUGUAGUGACUGCAUUUUCCGGUCGAUUUCUCAGCCAAAUGUGACGCACAAACGGGAGCUAUUUCGCCUACAAAAAGAAUCUUUUGGGAAAAAAGGAACAUUUGUUAUCUAACUGGGAGUCUCCUGAGUGAAAACAUCCGAAGUUCAUCAAAGAUCAACGUUGCUUUGAAGAGUCAUCUAAAGCUGAGUGGGUUCUCUCUCUGAUACCGUCAUCGGCAAGUUGGAUCACUGGAUCUGACCACACAGACCCUGAUCAGCAGGAUGGUGUCUGAUCGUGUGAAGGACCAUCCAUACAACUGGGAUGUCUGCCUCCCUGCAAAGGUGUUCGGCCUGUGUUUCAAGGAGCACCCCAAGACCAAGCAGAGACCUUUCUCUCUGCUGUGCUGCAAAGGACCUCAGCCGGUCACCACCCCUAGGGAUCUGUCUUUCAGUCCUGCAGAGCUCAGAGAGAGUUCCUUUGCAAUCCAGUCAAAUCAAGAGGGUGGUCAUGACACUGAUCCGCAAGGCAUGGUUGGCACUGAAUCUGGGAAGGAAACGGCUGGAAAGAGCACAGUUACAAGGGUCUCCUUUUUUAGGAGCAAAACAGAGUAACACGGACGGUAACACCAUCAGUGACACAGACGGUAACCCCAACAGUGAACCAUCCUCUGAAGAUCAUCAUGGAUCAUGGAAACCUGAAUCAUUUAUUGGAUCAGUGCUCUAUCAGUCAUGCUGCCAUGUUUUUGGGGAGUAGGUUAUUUUGGUUUUCUAAGGUGUGAUCAUUUUGUUGAAAAACACUUUGGUUCAAUGUUUGGCUGGUGUACUGUUUCAAGAUUAUUAGCAGAGACAUCAGUGGGUCAGGAAUUGAUGUACCACCUGCAUCAAUUCAAUCAGCCAAAACAUCAUACAUAGAUUGAUUAAUGAUAAGGUUAUCCCUAAAAGCAAUUGCUUUAUUUUGAAAUCAAGUUGUAUUUGUCAAGUGCUGAAUUCAACAGGUGUAGGGUGUACUGUUAAAUGCUUACUUAAGAAAGGAAACGAUAACAAUAAAAUAACAACAACCAGGCUCUAUACAAGGAGUAACAGUACUGAGUUCAAUGUGUAGGGUACGUGGUAGUUGAGGUAAUAUUUAGGGGUAAAAAUGACUAGGCAAUAAGGAUAGAUCAUUAACAGAGUGGCAGCUGUGUGUGUGUGUGUGUGUGUGUGUGUGUGUGUGUGUGU
ensembl:lncRNA